rnacentral:piRNA from 1 species
UCAUAAAUUCCAGCCAUUGACCCUGCAUC